CGACUCCAUGAAGCUGGAUUCGCUAGUAAUCGCGCAUCAGCCACGGCGCGGUGAAUACGUUCCCGGGCCUUGUACACACCGCCCGUCAAGCCAUGGAAGCCGGGAGUGCCUGAAGUGCGUGACCGCAAGGAGCGUCCUAAGGCAAUACCGGUGACUGGGGCUAAGUCGUAACAAGGUAUC
rnacentral:rRNA from 1 species